rnacentral:rRNA from 1 species
GAUAAACGCUGAAGGCAUCUAAGCGUGAAGCCCCCCUCAAGAUGAGAUAUCCCAUUCUUAUGAAGUAAACCCCCUUGAAGACGACGAGGUAGAUAGGGCAGAGGUGGAAGUGUGGUAACACACGGAGCUGACUGUUACUAAUCGGGUGAGGGCUUGACCAA